rnacentral:lncRNA from 1 species
CAUUCAGGUAAUAUGCAAUUAAAUUAUAAAUAAAUGCUCAAAAUGAUGAGUGAGUGAAUGAGCUAUAUAUAAGAAUAAUAACUGGUUGAAGUGUCAUUCAUAGGAUAAAGUAGAAAUCAGUCAAAUGGCUAACAGUAUAAGGAGGGUUAAAUCAGCAUCCAGGUGUGGAAAUAGCUGAUUUGUAUAUAUAGUUUGUUCCAUGUAAAAUAUUUAUAAUGUAGUACUGGAUGAAAAAAUAUAUACUACAUUUUAUGUACAGUAUAAUCUAAAAUUUCCAUGUUUAGUUAAAAAUGCAGGAAUAUAAUUAUCAAAAUUUGAGUACCAAAUUAUGAAUAAUUUUUCUUUCUUUAAUUCAUAUUUACCAAAGACCCUCCAAGGAGAAUAUAUAGUUUUGUAGUUAGAAAAAAAAUGAUUUGUUAAAGAGAUCAUAAAUGACAUAAUACUUUAUAGAAGUUAGAAGCUGAGAUUGUGAGAAUUUCCAGGGACUCCUGCCACCAGCUCAUCUUGCGUCAUCGUUUAUAUGGAAAUGUUGGAACUGAGGUUGCCUGAUGCCCCUCAAUUCCCAGCAGCUUUCUCUCUGGCUCUCAGCCAGCCUGUUAAACAGAAAAUAAUCAGUAAGACAAUUAAAAACACCCUGGUGUUCUGAGAAGUUACACACAAUCGCUUGGUUACCAAGUGUCUACCUCAGAAGUUUCUUUGCCUCCUAGAGUGAGUGUAAUCAUCUGUUUUAAAUUCUGCUUUUGCCAUUUCACAGUCUGAGACGCAGGACUCUGCAUAGGGCAUAGAUGGAUUUCCACGGUCAGCACGAGGAUGGGAGGAGAACGGGGCAGAUCCAGCCCCACUCAGGGAGACCUGGCUGGAGUUACUUGGCUGGCCCUCACUCCAGAGAGCGGAGACCUUCCCUGGACCCGCUACCCAGACAGCCCCCAGUUGGAAAAUGUUUUCUUCUAAGGAACAGUAAGAGGACCUUGUGCAUGAAUAAUUUGUUUCCACACUACAGAGUGGGUAAGUUGUGGGGUACUAGCAGUAAAAA